UUUAUUAUUUAUACAGCAAACUUGUAUUACAAGCAAAUCCAAGAAAGACCAGUGGGAAUAAUUUGAAAACAAUGUAUGUUGCUCAUUACACUUAAGGAACUUGAUGAAAUUCAUAUCAAACUAGCAAUGAAAGCAUUAGCAACAGAGCUGGUGGACAUGGGUGGUGUGCACCUAUAGCCCCAGCUACUUGGGAGGCGGAGGUGGAAGCAAGACUCUAUCUCUUAAAAAAAAAAAAAUGCAGCAAUUACAGUAUAUUCUUAUUAAAAAACAACUUUCCUUUAAUACUUUUAUUCUAUGAUUAAAUAAACCCAUAAUGAUUUUAACAUAAUUUGUAUCUGAAAUGAAAUAUUUAGAGUAUAUCUAAUAUUAUAACCAUAGCCAACUGUGCAUAUAGAAGACUAAUUUAUUUGAAUCCCCAAUAGUUUUGAUUUCUUAUGUACUUCAAUAAGAAAAAGAGAAGAUUGUAGCAAACAAGAAAUAGUGUGGAGUAAAGUAGAAGUAAUUGUACCUUUUAAACUGGGUAGUAUGCUACUGAUUAGCAUAGUUUGAUUAGAAACUUCAUUAUCAGUCCUGUGACAUUCCCAGUGGGAAUGAUACAAACAUUCUAUUUUAUCAAUUUGUGCAUUUUUUUACCUUCAUAUGAAUAAUUCAUACUGUAAUUCUCUUAUUUAUGUAAAAUUGUUUGAAGCUUACAUGUGUUGAAUCAUGAGGCUCUAGCUUAGUGGUUCUCAACUAGGGGCAAGUUUGCCCGCUGGGGGAUAUUUGGCAUUAUAUGGAGACAUCUUUGUUGUCACAACUGGGGUUAGUGUUAAUAUCAUCUAAUAUGUAGAGAUCAGGGAUGUUGCUAAACACUUAAAACGCACUGGACAGCCUCAUAACAGAAUUAACCAGGCUGAAAUGUUAGUAGUGUCAUGGCUGACACACUUUGCUCUAGAUCUUUUUUACUACUCUAUAGCAAAUAUUAUAUUGUGUGAAUACACUUGAUUUAUUUAUCCAUUUUUCUGUUAAUGGAAAUUCAGUUUGUAAAAGACCUUGUUUUGGAGACUAAACUUAAAGGAUUGGAACUGAGGUAUUUUUAAUUAGAGAAGGAAGAGUCAAAAAUAAGAUUUCUUCUCCUCCCGCCACCCAAGAUGCCGAAAGGAAAGAAGGGCAAGGGGAAGAAGUUGGCUCUGGCCCCUGCUGUCGUCAAGAAGCAGAGCAGGAGGCCAAGAAAGUGGUGAAUCCGCUGUUUAAGAAAAGGCCUAAGAAUUUUGGCAUUGGACAGGACACCCAGCCCAAAAGAGACCUCACCUGCUUUGUGAAAUGGCCCUGCUAUAUCAGGUUGCAGCAGCAGAGAGCCAUCCUCUAUAUGCAGCUGAAAAUGCCUCCUGCGAUUAACCAGUUCAUCCAGGCCCUGCGCUGCCAAACAGCUACUCAGCUACUUAAGCUGGCCCACAAGUACAGAUCAGAGACAAAGCAAGAGAAAGAAGCAGAGGCUAUUGGCCCAGGCUGAGAAGAAAGCUGCCGGCAAAGGGGAUGUCCCCAGUAAGAGACCACCUGUCUUUCAAGCAGGAGUCAGCACUUCACCACCUUGGUGGAGAACGCGAAGACUCAGCUAGUGGUGAUUGCAUAUGACAUGGAUCCCAUCAAGCUGGUUGUCUUCCUACCUGCCCUGUGUCGUAAAAUGGGUGUCCCUUACUGCAUUAUCAAGGGGAAGUCAAGAGUGGGAUGUCUACUCCACAGAAAGACCUGCACCACUGGUUGCCUUCACACAGGUUAACUUGGAAGACAAAGGAGCUUUGUCUAAGCUGGUGGAAGCUAUCAGGAUCGAUUACAAUGACAGAUACAAUGAGAUCUGCCAUCACUGGGGAGGCAAUGUCCUGGGUCCCAAGUCUGUGACUCGCAUUGCCAAGCUCAUAAAGGCAAAGGCUAAAGAACUUGCCACCAAUUGGAUUAAAUGUACACUGUUGAGCUUUCUGUACAUAAAAAAGAAGGUAAUGCAAAUUUUCCUAAAGAUUUCUAUCCAAAGUGACUUGAUGAAUAAUAUGUAAUUAACUUGAAGAGAGAAAGCAGAAGGAGCAGAAUUGGUUGGAGAAAACAAAUUCUUGAUGCCAAAGAGAUGGGUUAGGUCUAGAGAAGUGCACGUGAAAAUAGAGAUAAUAGUUGAGGUUUGUGGAUAAAUAAAAUCGCUCAAGGAGAGUAAUACAUUGGAAAGAAGGGAGGUGUAGAGCAGAACCUGUGGAUUAGCAGUAAGGGAGACUGAGAAGUGGUUAGCUGAAGAAGGAACAAGUAUACCAAGAAAAAGUAGGUAGAUAAAAAUCACAAAUUGAAGAUGUUUUGGGACCUGAUUGUUUGCAGUAGAUUUUCUAUAUUAUUUUUUUCUAUACCAUAUGUAUGUAUAAUUAGAAAAUUAUUUUAAAAUCAUAUUGGUUUCGUGUAAUUAACAGUCCUAUAUUGUUACCUGGGCAAGUUAAAUAGUCCUAAUUGUCCCUGAGUUGUUAGAGAAUGUUUGUGAACCACUCAGCACAGACCUUGACAGAUAGGUUUUUGUUUUUUGCUUUUUUGAAGUACAUGAUAUAGACAGGAACACAGAUUUUUAAAUGGUAGCUGUUACUAAGUAUGGGAGAGAGCUUUGACUCUGGCAGUUUGGGAUGGCCUUUCAAAAGUGACAAGUGUGGUUGUAAGGGUUAGAGAGUAAGUUGGUGAUGAAUGAUACACUACUCUUUGGAGAAUAAAGAGCCAGGUGUGAGGGUAGAGUUUUCUAGGAUUAGGAGACUUGGAUGUGUUUGAAACCUGAGGAGUAAGAAAUUGGUGGAGAGAAGGGACUCUGAGAGGAUGCCAGCAGUAUUGGCUACAGCUUUUUCAUCUUCCCCAAUUAUCCAUCCAGUAAAAGCAGAGCUCCCUUUAAUAUUGGGAGCAAUAUUAAGAUGUUUACUCAUCACUUGUAUUUAUCAUUGUAUUGGAGGUCCUAACAAGUACAAUAAGGCAAGAAAAAGAAAUGUAUACAGUUUAACAAGAGGAAAUAAAACUUUGUGUUUGCAGGUGAAAUGAAAAUCCUAAGGACUCUGUAGAAAAACUAUAUAUGAAAUUCCAGAACAGCCAAAUAAUGUAUGAUGGGAAAGAAAAUCAGAAUGGUUUUAUGGUUGCCUGUGCACAGUCCCAUAACUGGGACUGUUAACUGGGAAAGGGUAUGAAGGGAACUUUCUGGUUGAUGGAAGUGUUAAUAAUCUUCAUAGAAGUUAGGGAGGUAUUAGCAUUUUAAAAACUCAUAGAAUUGAGUAUAUUUUAUAUGUGUACAUUUUACUGUAUGAAAAUUUUAGUAUUAAAAAUAUUAAAAUUACCAGUAGUGAAACAUAGAUUUAAACCUCCUGAUAUGAUGGCACUGAGAAAUAUGCACCAUCACCUCUGUAACAUUCCUUCCAGAAAUGCUUUGCCUGGAUCUAAUCAUAGGAGACAUCAGACAAGCCCAAAUUGAGGAUUCUACAAAAGAAUUGCAAAAUAACUGGCCUGUAGUCUUCAAAAAUGUUAAGGCCAUGAAAAAAAAAAAAAAAAGCUCCAGAUAAAAGAACUAGAGAUAUGACAACUGAAAACAACAUGUAAACCUAGAUUAAAUAACUACUGGGUGAGGCAAAACCAUUUUGCAAAAAUUUUCUUUUGCUAAAACAUCAGUGGGACAAUUUGAAUAAGUGUUGUAGAUUAGAUAAUAUUAUGUAUAAGUGUUAAUAAUUACUCUGAUUAUGUAAAAGAUAUCCUUCUAAGGAAAUACAUAUUUAAGGGUAAGUGGCAUCAAGUCCUGCAACUUGCACAUGGUUCAGGAGAAAGAAUGGGGAAGCAAAUGUGAAAUAUUAAUACAGGUUGAGCAUCUGCAGUCUAAAACUUUUUGAGUGUGGAUGUCAUGCCACAAGUAGAAAAUUCCAUACCUGAUCUCAUGCAACAGGUUGCAGUGAAAACUUUGUUUCCUGCACAAAAUUAUUUGAGACAGAGAUUCACUCUUGUGUCUCAGGCUGGAGUGCAAUGGCGCGAUCUUGGCUCACUGCAACCUGCGCUUCCUGGGUUCAAGCCAUUCUCCUGCCUCAGCCUCCCAAGUAGCUGGGAUUACAGGCAUGCGCACCCCUACGCCCAGCUAAUUUUUGUAUUUUUAGUAGAGGCGGGAUUUCGCCAUGUUGGUCAGGCUGGUCUCAAACUCCUGACCUCAAGUGAUCCACCUGCCUCAGCCUCCCAAAGUGCUGGGAUUACAGGUGUGAGCCACCGUGCUCAGCCCUGAAAUUAUUUUAAAGUAAAGUUAAAAAUAAGACAAAGCAAGUACAGUUGAGGAACCAACAAAAUCUACAGAUGCCAUCUACGUCAAAGCAAAAUGAUAUUUCCCCACAAACCCGUAAAGGGAUAGGGACAAACCACCAAAAUCUAUAUAAGAGGCUUGGUUAAUACUAGCAUUUGUGCAGGGGGAACUGAAGGGAAGCAGCAGAGCACCUGACAGCAUAAAGAAUGCUAGCAGAGCCAACCGUUUUUCUGGAAAGCUCGUAGGGCAUAUUUGAGAAGAGCAGCAGUUAAUCGGGAGUAGUUUUCCGUAAUGGAAUAACGAGUAAAUACAGGGGCUCUGGGAUAAGGUAUGAAGGAUCUGACUGGACCAGUCAAGAGUUCAAACCACACAGUAGUUUGAAUAGAGAAAGUUAAUAUAAGGAAUUGUUAACUAUAGCAAGAUUGGAGUAAUGAAGGAUUGACUAGUACAAAGUAAAAAGAUCUUUAAAGAAAAUAGAAAUAGCACGUAGUCACAGUUCAGUGGCUCAUGCCUGUGAUUGCAGCACUUUGGGAGGUCGAGGCAGGGUGAUUGCUUGAGUCCAGGAGUUUGAGACCAGCCUGGGCAACGUGGUGAAACUUUUGUCUCUACAAAAAAAUUUAAAAAUUAGCUGGACGUGGUGGGUACCUGGUAGUCCCAGCUACUCAGGGGGCUGAGGUGGGAGGAUUGCUUGAGUCUGGCAGGUCAUAGCUGCAGUGAGCCCAGAUGGCACCACUUCAUUCCACCCUGGGUAACAGAGUGACACCCUGUCUCAAAAAAAAAGAAAAAAACAUACACACAGACAUACAUGCAUACAUACAAGGAGCAGCCACUACCCUUAGGGCUAAGACAGUGUGUCCAAGAAUGAGUCCCCCAUUUCCCUACCACCACCCCAGGGCUGAGAUUCAUACCUGGUUAGAAAGGGCUCAGUUGUGGCUCACUGAAUGGCAGAGUAAUUGCUGAUGUGCUUCUCUGGGGAAGCGUGCUGAAAGGCUUUUCAUGAGAGGUGUCACUCUGCUACAAAACUACUCAGAUGAGGUGCUGCGGGAAGCUGCUGGUCUCUGAGCUCACUUAUAUGUCAGAACCUGGCUUUGAGGAACUGGGUGCUGUGGGAGCCUGCUGAAAAACACACGGGAACAGGAAGUAAAAAUCUCUCCAUUGUUCUCCGCUGGCAGAAGUUAACAUGCCAGCUGUCAAAGGAAAAGUUUUAAAGUGUCCAGGCACAUUUUUGCUCAACAGGCAGAAGGGAUGACUUUGUGACUAAGAAGCAGUAACCAGCACAGGGUUCUAUCGUUGUUCAUGCUAACUGGCCACUAUACCCUUCCAGAACAAAGCCCCUCACUGAGGACAAACUGUUGGAAAUAUAAUCCAGAUUGAGCUGCAGAGAGACAAGUCAGUAGAGACGAAAGGAAAGGUUCAGAUAAAAGCGGUAGGGAGAAGAUAACCAGGACAUUAAAGAACGUAAACCCGGGAGGCAGAGGUUGCAGUGAGCCAAGAUCGCGCCAUUGCACUCCGGCCUGGGCAACAAGAGUAUGAAACUCGGUCUCAGAAAAAAAAAAAAAAAAAAAAAUCCUAAGUUGGUUUAAAAAAAAAAAAUCAUCUGGGAAAACUCAAAAUAAGGGGCUAGAACUCUUGAAAAGAAGUAAUAAUAAAAGAUUUCAGAAAAAUAAAGACUAAAGAAAGAAUAAAGAGAAUAAAUAAUAUUUUUCAAGAAUUAGACAGCGAAGGAAAAUUUUUUAAAUGAAGGAGAAAUACAUAGGUAAGAAAUUAAAACUGGAAAAAAAAAGUUUGGCAGAAAAGAUCUAAUAUAGAUAUAUAAUAGGAUCUUCCCACCCCCGCCCCCAGAAAGAAAACCAAAAUAAAGGAAUAGCUUAAAUACUGACAAGUGGCCGGGUACGGUGGCUCACACCUGUAAUCCCAGCAGUUUGGGAGGCCGAGGGGGGCAGAUCACGAGGUCAGGAGAUCGAGACCAUCCUGACUAACAUGUUGAAACCCUGUCUCUACUAAAAAUACAAAAAAUUAGCCAGGCAUGGUGGCGGGCGCCUGUAGUCCUAGCUACUCGGGAGGCUGUGAGGCAGGAGAAUGGCGUGAACCCGGGAGGUGGAGCUUGCAGUGAGCUGAGAUCGCGCCACUGCACUCCAGCCUGGGGACAGAGUGAGACUCCGUCUCAAAAAAAAAAAAAAAAUACUGAAAAGUAUAGUUCAAGAACAUUUUUCUGAAAUACAUUUAGAUUUGAAUCUACAAAUUGAAAGGACAGCAGGAUGACUAAGACAUACUCUUACAAAAUACUAGACUUGAACAAAAAAAGAAAGAUAUCCUUUGGCCAUUCAGGCAUAAAGACUGAGUUGUUAAGAGAAAGAAAACCAGAUAGACUGUGACAGCAAAGCUUUAUAACAAGUAAAUGGAGUAACAAUUACAAUAAAGAAAAUGUGAGCCAAAGAUUUUGUGCUUUGUCAAGCUAAUGUUCAGUUAUAAAGAUCACAGACAAACAUCAAUGUGUAAGUACUUGGAAUAUUGCUCUUUCCGGCAUUGUUUCGCGCUGCCACAAUGGUGUGUGUGAACGUCCUACCUGUUGCUCUCAAGAGUAUCACCAAUGCCAAAAAGAGAGGGAAACGCCGGUUCUUACUAGGCCAUGCUCCAAAGUCAUUCUCCAACUUCUAGCUGUGAUGAUGAAGCAUCGUUACAUUGGAAAAUUUGAAAUCAUUGAUGAUAACAGAGCUGGGAAAAUUGUGAACCUCACAGGCAGGCUAAACAAGUGUAGAGCCCCAGCUUUGAUUUGCAACUCAAAGAUCUAGAAAAACGGCAGAACAAUCUGCUUCUAUCCCAACCAUUUGACUUCGUCAUAUUGACAGCCUUAGCUGGUAUCAUGGACCAUGAAGAAGCAAGACGAAAACACACAGGAGGGAAAAUCCUUGGAUUUUGUUUCUAGGGAUGCAAUACAUAUUUACAAAUAAAAUGCCUCAAAAAAAAAAAAAAAAA